rnacentral:rRNA from 1 species
GCGGCGGACGGGUGAGUAACACGUGGACAAUCUGCCCCCCGGCCGGGAUAGCCCAGGGAAACCUGGAUUAAUACCGGAUGAGACGGGACCCGCGAUGGCGGGAUCCGGGAAAGGCGCUGCGGCGCCGCCGGGGGAUGAGUCUGCGUCCCAUUAGCUAGACGGCGGGGUAACGGCCCACCGUGGCGACGAUGGGUAGCCGGCCUGAGAGGGUGGACGGCCACAUUGGAACUGAGACACGGUCCAGACUCCUACGGGAGGCAGCAGCUAAGAAUCUUCCGCAAUGGGCGAAAGCCUGACGGAGCGAACCGCCGCGUGAACGAAGAAGGCCGUGAGGUUGUAAAGUUCUUUUCGGGAGGGGGAACAACCGUGGCAGGGAAUGGCCGCGGGAUGACGUGAAUCCCCGGAAUAAGCCCCGGCUAACUACGUGCCAGCAGCUGC